rnacentral:rRNA from 1 species
GACGAACGCUGGCGGCGUGCUUAACACAUGCAAGUCGAACGGAAAGGCCCUGCUUUUGUGGGGUGCUCGAGUGGCGAACGGGUGAGUAACACGUGAGUAACCUGCCCUUGACUUUGGGAUAACUUCAGGAAACUGGGGCUAAUACCGGAUAGGAGCUCCGGCUGCAUGGUGGGGGUUGGAAAGUUUCGGCGGUUGGGGAUGGACUCGCGGCUUAUCAGCUUGUUGGUGGGGUAGUGGCUUACCAAGGCUUUGACGGGUAGCCGGCCUGAGAGGGUGACCGGCCACAUUGGGACUGAGAUACGGCCCAGACUGCUACGGGAGGCAGCAGUGGGGAAUAUUGCACAAUGGGCGGAAGCCUGAUGCAGCAACGCCGCGUGCGGGAUGACGGCCUUCGAGUUGUAAACCGCUUUCGACUGUGACGAAGCGUGAGUGACGGUAAUGGGUAAGGAAGCACCGGCUAACUACGUG